AGGGUAGUGGCUCAGUGGUAGAGUGCGUGCUUAGUAUGCACAGAGGUCCUGGGUUCAAUCCUCAGUACCUCCA
rnacentral:tRNA from 1 species